rnacentral:piRNA from 1 species
UAGGAAUCGACAGGGCUGGACUGGAUC